UUCAAUACUUUUUCCUUAUGAGAAAGCUUAGAUAAUCCAGACGUCAUAACUGUCCUCAAUCGUGAUCUUUGGAUGAGAGGUCUGUCUAAGGAUUAGCAAGCAAUAAUUUUCAGAGAACGAAUCAGAUAAACAUGUCGCAAAAUCCUUCUUCUCUGGUUGAGCUCGAUUUGAGCGGAUGCCAAGACAUUGAGGCUCAAUUGCCCACAGUCAAUCGGCUUUCUAAUCUGCAAAUUCUGAGAUUGGACCAAUGCGAAACCCUCAUACAGCUUCCUUCAGAGCUAUGCAAUCUCCUUUCGGUCAAAGAUUUCUCCGCCCGAAGAUGCCCAAAUCUCAAAGAAUUGCCUUCCAACUUUGGAAACCUUAAAAAUCUGGAGAUUUUGAAUUUGAGCCACUGCACCGGGUUAGGAAAUCUGCCUUCGAGUUUUGGAACCCUAACUUCCCUGCAGCGUCUCGAUCUCUCAUUUUGCGACGCUCUGAAAUCUCUGCCCGAGACAUUCGCAAAUCUCUCUUCACUGCAAAUUUUGAAUCUCGAAUUCUGUCAAAAUUUAGUGAAUUUGCCGUCAAAUUUCGGCAACUUGUGUUCGUUGGAGACCCUGGAACUUUCUGGCUGCGAGGAUUUGGAGAGGCUUCCGGUCGGAUUUGGAAGUCUGAAGUCGUUACGUUGCCUGCGAUUCCUGCAGGACAGAUCAAUUUGUUCCGGCAUGGAAACCCUGCCAGAAAGCUUCGGUGACCUCUCUAGUUUGGAAGAGCUAAGCCUGCGCUGCCCUAAUCUAGAAAAUCUUCCACAGACGUUUGGUGGGCUUAAAACGUUGAGGUGUCUGGAUCUGAGCGGCUGUGAGAAUUUGAGGUCUUUGCCGGAAAACUUUGGAGCGCUGGAGUCUCUGAAAAUUCUCAAUGUUCAGUUUUGCAACGGGCUACAAACUGUUGGAGGUGAUUUUGAAUCGUUGAUUUCUUUGAAGGCUGUGAAUGCAGCAGAUUGUGAUUUGAUUGGGAGUGCGCUAGACAAGUUUGUGGGGCUUAAGGGUUUAAUGCUACUCUAUAUUGCCGGGAGUCGGCGAUUGAUAGAGCGGUGGAAACAAGUCAAGGGAGAGUAUGUAUUGUGGGUCAUCUGCCAGCGACCAGCUGCGGAGGUAGAUUCCUUUGAUUGGGAUGGUUUUGAGUUGGUAGCCCGAGAAACUAAAUCGACUGCUUUUUUUCACCACGGUUAUAAAUUCCUCAGUGCCGAUGGGAAUGUUGAAGACAACUCCUUCCUAGCCUUUGAUACCAAAUUGGCUUUCCUGUUUGCAAAGUCUAAGGUGUCUUCUUCUUCUUCAUUGGAAAUGCUGAAGAAGAAAUUUGUGGAGCUUGCCUCACAAAGUUUCCAUCUCAUCUACGUGCCAGUGUGGGAGCAAAGCAAAGAAGAUAUCCAACAGACAGUGGUCAGUCUAUUAUCGCCAGGAGUUAAGGCAAGGGCCUGGGUUGGCAGUGAGGGUAGAAGCAGGGAUAUAUUUGGGUUUUCUGUUAUCUUUGGUGAGGUGAGUAGAAAAAGAGAAGUGGAGAGGCUUGGUGCAUUUAUUGUGACAGUAAGUGUAUCAGUGGAUGAAGAGGGUAACAAAUCCUUGGGUGAUUUAGAGUCAGUCUUCCCAGAGGAGGAAGAUGGUGAUGCUUUUAAAGCAUUAUUAGAUGAUGCAGGAGGCUUCAGAACUUUGUACGACCCCAUAUUUGAAGUAAUUGAACUCAUGAUGGAAUCAUAAUACCUCUUACUAGCUACAUGCUUAAGGUUUUGCAAGGUUUGCAGUGGACCUUUACAUCCUCAUAGUUUCUAGUUCAAAGAACCCCAACAUGUCCUGUCUCCUCAUCUUUCUAUGAUAACAUUCUUGUCAGUGCCCUUAUGUACCUCUAGCUGCAGGAACAAUCAGUCAACCUGGUACUUGGGUCGAGGAUGUAUGCCAAUCAAUAUCAAGAGGAAGGAUUUAUAACUUAUGGACACAGACUGUUAUAUUAUAUUGUAAGAGAGAUUCCACGCAUAUCAGGAGUGUGGAUGUGAAAUUGCAAAUACAUGUAGCAAUAUAUGUGUUACCUAUUUUUGACUCUCAGGCCAAAAAUAGUCUUCUAGAGUGUUUUUUCAUUUUAUCAUGGGGUUUUGGAGAGUUUUAAAGUUUAAAGCAUGAGAAAAGUUGUAUUAAAACGCUUUGAAGGUGUUUAAAAAAUCUAAGGUUAACUUUAAUACUUUUCUCGGAAUUAUCCAAAGGGGGAAGGAUCCACGUUGUAUGUAGUCAAAGAAUGGUUUUAAAGAAGUAAUUGUGAAUAUCGAUGUAUUUCUUUUGUUAAAAAGCCUAAAAAGUUUCCAAACAAGUGUUCAUGCAUCAUUUGGAGGGAAUUUUGAACUCUUUUGACCAUGGUCAGCGUUGAGAUGAAGUGAGGCUAAACAGUGGGUGAAAUUGUUCACACAAAGUAGUCCGAACAGCAGUAAGCCCUAGGUUAUCAGGUGCUCUUGAAAGCUACAGUUUGAUGCUGUGAUGGCGGCCUUGAACAGAGAAAUUGAAGGCAAACAGCACAUUGCAUGCACAAAGCAGUCAAGGACCAUGAGUUCAGGAGAAUUUAGAGAUACUUCGAGAGAAAGCUUCAUGUAUUUCACGGGUUAGCUUCUUAUUUUGCAUUUAUUCUCGAGUUUAUUUCUCUGAGAUUAUCUCACUAGCAUCAAAUUACAUGAAGUUUGUGAAAUUUUUGUUAAGGUGGUGGUGCUUUCUUUAUCUAUUUUAGAUCCAUAUUCGAAAGGUUUAGGGUUCUUAAUAGAUGGGAGAUUUUUGUCACGAAAGGUCACAAAUCUUGUAAAGCAGACCUUCAACCCUUUGACACAGAAAUCUUGUUUCUGUCAAGAAAGAAAGAAUAGUUUUAUAUGGCACAAAAGGGUAGUAAAUGACAGUCCUCUGUCUAAGAGGAAACAAUAAUGAUUCAGGGUCAAUGUUGCAGUCGUACCUCAUUCUUGUAAUAGCAGAGGACACAGUCUAUUCAAUGUAAAAUGAUUUGAUGCUAACCAAAAGGUUAGAGAAAGGUAGCUAAGGCCCAAAUCUAGUACAAAGGUAUAGCAGAUCUCAAGCACAGUGACCACCACCUCAAAAGCAGCAUCAAAGACUCUAUUGCAGCAGUCAACAAAAGUCAUGGAAGAUCAUCAUUUCAUAGCAGCUAAAAUGACAAGAGACACAAAAAGAGUAUGAAAUUACAGUCAUACACAAUAUAUUUCAGUCAAGAAAUGAUUUACUCUCAGUCCCAUAACAUAGUCACAGUGAUCAAGAGAAAGAUUUGAGAAUAUGUCAUUUAUCAGAGUAUCAAGGAGAUUACUACAGCACUCACAGCAAAGAAGAGGUAUAUAAGACAGAGAAAGACAGAGGACAGACCUUGAAAGGCCAAAAGAACAAUGAUUCAAGGCAAUGCUAGUAAGGCUAAUAAUACACAUCACAAUGAGUGCCAAAGGUGGAUCACCUGAUGUUAUUGCAAUCAUUAAGAGCAGUGAUUAAGGGGCAGUAAUUCAGGGUUUUCACAAUCAAUGCAUAGGUGUCAAGCCUUUUUCAAUAUGAACAGAGAUCAUGGAGGACAAUAUAGCAGUCCCAAGAAAGGAGAUCAAAGCAACCUACAAGACUGUGGAGCUAUGGAUAUGCAGCCACAAAACAGAGACAAGGCCUAAGACCAUAAAAUAGUACAUCUCUUUUCCCAUGGAAAAGGCACAUAGAAUAUCAGUAAUUGAGAAGCUUGCAAGAAAUAGAUCACUGUUCAAAACACAAAGAGACUAUUUCCUCACAGAGGUCUUCGAUCACAAUCAGGGGUUUGUUACAGUCAUAACAAGGGAUCCAUAAGAGGGUUAUUUGCAGACCUUGUUGAGUGAAUAGGUUUCAGAUGCACAAGAAAUACAGUGCUCCCUGUUCAUGACAGUAGCAAGACUGAGACAAAGAGAUACAAAGAAGUAUCACACUGACCUUUGGGCAUCAUUUAAGUCUUGUUGCAGUGAAAAAGCACUAGAAAUGAUUUAGAAAGAUAAGCAUCAAUAAGUUAUGACAGGUUGAGGAAGAAGUUAUAAACAGAAAUGGACAGCCUUUGCCAAGAGCAUUCAUACCCAAAUGGGUCACAAGAAGAUGGCUUUAAGAUAAGGUGCAGAUUUUGAAAUAUAAGACAGUAAGCAUACAUCACGAAUAUGACAGUGAUAUGUCUCUUACAAAAGCCCUAAUGAUGACAGACUCAAACAAUUGUCAAAAGCUUCAUAGAGCAGCUUUAUGAGUCUAACAAAGGAGUCCAAAGGCUAUCAGACACAUUAUUCAGAGAGACAGUCCCAUAUCUUCACUACUGUGACUUGUCAAGGCGGAAUCUGAAGGUCGCAAUCUCAACACAGUUCACAAUCUUCAUCAAGGAACUCAGAGCAAAAAGAGCAGAUCCAUGGCAGAUAUCCCUGUCAAAUAACAGAGGCACGAAGCUUUAAUCACAGUCAUAUUUGGCUGUCAUAGCCGAGUUUUGGAUCAGAACAGAGGUAAGAGAGAUGCUUAGAGCAGCCAUUCAGUCCACAAGGUAUAUAUUCUAAAGACAAAUCACAGAGCAGGCUACAAUGAACAAUGACAAAGUGUAAGCGUUGAAAAGAUGAAGAGGACUCACUGUUAUGAGAUACAGUAUGCAAGAUGUUAAUAAUGACAAAGUGAAAAGUACAUUUCCAAAUCAGGCAAAGAACAGUGCUCAGAACAGUCUUCCAAAAUAGAAGAAAGAUACAGCACACAGAGUAAAAGUAUAUGCACAUUUCCAAGGGAUACCAAACAAUCAAAAUGCAGUCACACGCAUAAUUGACAAAUGCCAUGUAAAAGACAGUCUUAGGGAGGGUUUUGAAAUUUACAAGGGUCACUGUCAUUGUAACUAUGGAUGAAAAUGCAAAGCAAAUUCAUAGUGUAGCAGUGCUAGCAAUGAGAAGCAGCCCUAAGCCCUGUGUAUAGCAGUAGUAUCAAAGACUGUCAUAGCAGCUAAGAGCAUUAGAGAUCAAACAUAACAGAGACUUUAGUUAACUAUGGAGCAGUCACCACGAGAUGCAAACCACAGUUUGACAGUGUUUCAAACUUUGAAAAGAUUCCCAGUCAUUAGGAUCUUAUUAAGAUUAUAUAAUGCAGUCCAGAAAGCAUUCAUACUCAUCAUUUACAAUCCUACUAAAUAUUAAUAGUAUGUUUUUCUAUUAAAGCCAUUACAUAGAAGCAUGAGGACUAAAAAAUGAAAAUGCAACAAAGACUUUUCUUACGCCUGAAAAAGGAGUCAAACUUCAAGGUCCAUGAAAUAAGAUAACAUGCUAAUCAGUUGAAGGCUUAGUCACAAAGGCAAAGGACAAGUUUUAUUUCUUGCAUCAAUUUGAAAUCAAGUUCAUACUCAGUUCAAUGAUGAGCUUUAAGCAUUAAAAGGUGGAGUUCUAAGUACAAGAGCAGUUAAAGGCCUGAAAAUGAGUGAUUUAAGAGCAGUUCCAUCAGUUCUAGUGCAGUUAAAGCCCUACAAGGCUCAUACAUCAGUUGAGAGGCAUUUUGGGGCCACAAACACUCAGUUAUCAGCAGUUUGAGAUGCCUUUAUGCAUGAUUUUCAAUCAAUUUCGACCCAAGUCAGAUAUCUCAUGAUAUCUCAUGCAAUAUGAUGAAGAUUCCAAGAAGAAGACCAUCAGUUAGACCUGGAGUUCGACCUCAGUUACUUCUUCCAGUCAAGAUGGGUUGAAUUCAUUUUGUGCUUCCAAUGAUAAAUUUCAAAGUCUUGUUGACUAUAUGAACUCAAUAUUGCAAAAUCUACCAACCAAAGAAGAUGAAAAACUCAUUUUUAUUGAAUGUGUUGAGGGAUUUAAAAAAAUAUUUCCAUGCAUCUCUUUCUUUCUCUUCAAAGUUUUCAUCAAUUCCUGGCUCAAAGGACAUGUCCAUGAGACGAAAAUCACCAUGGUUUAGUCCAAGCAAAAUCUACAAAUGCCAUUCUCUUCAUUAAAGAUGCAAAUGCCAUUCAUCAAGAUUUAAAUGAAAGAGCACCAAAGCAUGAAGAAUUCGAGUUCCCUUGUACAAGCACAGAAGAAAACAAAAGAAAAAAAGGGUCUUAAAUCAUCCAGGCAUUGCCAUACAAGAAGUAGCUACUAUUAGGGAACAACAUAGUGAGUACAUCUAUUCUAAUUUAUUUUCUUGUUUUUCAUUGUAAUGUAAUUCUUGUUGUUAUUUCAUAUGUAAAAAAUAUGUGAUUGUAGCUUUGGACGAUCAAGAGAAUACUCGACGACGUCGAUUCCUCUUCUAUAUUGAUUUGAACCAAUCAAUAGUAGAUGACAUGCAAAUUAUAGAUGGUAAUUUUCUAACUAUUAAAUGCAUUGAUUCAUAAAUUGUAAAAUUGCUAAGUUUUUAUUUCUAGUCUCUUUUCUAUACUUAAUCAAACAAUUAGCAGGCACAUUUUGUGGAACUCAAUUAUCAUUAGCUAUCAAUGUUUUACCAAAUAAACAUUU